rnacentral:rRNA from 1 species
GACGAACGCUGGCGGCGUGCUUAACACAUGCAAGUCGAGCGGUAAGGCUCCUUCGGGAGUACACGAGCGGCGAACGGGUGAGUAACACGUGAGUAAUCUGCCCUUCACUUCGGGAUAACCACCGGAAACGGUGGCUAAUACCGAAUACGACCAGUCUUCGCAUGAGGUGCUGGUGGAAAGUCUUUUCGGUGAAGGAUGUGCUCGCGGCCUAUCAGCUUGUUGGUGGGGUAAUGGCCUACCAAGGCUUCGACGGGUAGCCGGCCUGAGAGGGUGACCGGCCACACUGGGACUGAGACACGGCCCAGACUCCUACGGGAGGCAGCAGUGGGGAAUAUUGGACAAUGGGCGAAAGCCUGAUCCAGCAACGCCGCGUGAGGGAUGACGGCCGUCGGGUUGUAAACCUCGUUCAGUACCGACGAAGCGCCCUGUCGGGUGGUGACGGUAGGUACAGAAGAAGGACCGGCCAACUACGUG